rnacentral:rRNA from 1 species
UAGGGAAUCUUCGGCAAUGGGGGCAACCCUGACCGAGCAACGCCGCGUGAGUGAAGAAGGUUUUCGGAUCGUAAAGCUCCGUUGUAAGUCAAGAACGAGUGUGAGAGUGGAAAGUUCACACUGUGACGGUAGCUUACCAGAAAGGGACGGCUAACUACGUGCCAGCAGCCGCGGUAAUACGUAGGUCCCGAGCGUUGUCCGGAUUUAUUGGGCGUAAAGCGAGCGCAGGCGGUUUGAUAAGUCUGAAGUUAAAGGCUGUGGCUCAACCAUAGUUCGCUUUGGAAACUGUCAAACUUGAGUGCAGAAGGGGAGAGUGGAAUUCCAUGUGUAGCGGUGAAAUGCGUAGAUAUAUGGAGGAACACCGGUGGCGAAAGCGGCUCUCUGGUCUGUAACUGACGCUGAGGCUCGAAAGCGUGGGGAGCGAACAGGAUUAGAUACCCUGGUAGUCCACGCCGUAACGAUGAGUGCUAGGUGUUGGAUCCUUUCCGGGAUUCAGUGCCGCAGCUAACGCAUUAAGCACUCCGCCUGGGGAGUACGACCGCAAGGUU